rfam:Epulopiscium sp. AS2M-Bin001 AS2M_MBin01_12, whole genome shotgun sequence.
GGAUGGAAUUCUGGAGACGACUAUUGAAAUAUAUAGUGGCCGAAGGUGCAAGCGAAAGCUAAUCUCUCAGGCAAAAAGACAGAAAAAAAGUA